ACUACAGCCAACCCCUUCGCUUUUCCGUGUUCGUUAGUCUUAAGUGCAGCGGCAUUGGCUGCCCCUUCACGGUUGAUGCAUUGAGCAGUAGUUGUGCCCCGUUGCACUGCACACGUAGCCUGGUGCUCGAGUGGCAAUGGUAGGGGGCGGCUGCUGACCCUGAGCUGUUCUACCGCGGCUGUCACCAGAGGUGAACUCCGUUAAAAUGCUUGGUUUAAAGCGGCCAGUGCCCCAGUGGUUCCUCAAGCAAUCAGGGCUAAGUUCCAGGUCCCGUUCGGGUUUCCGGAGCGGUGCUGGGGAGCAGGGAGGUGUUGACUGCUCUGAUGAAAUCAUCUAUAGGAAGUGCCGUCAGAAGCGAUAACUGACGAUAACGUUCCUGGCUGACUGCGGUCAACAAGUCCUGCCCGGCUGCCGCUGCCCUGGAGUAGGUUGGUCUGGUUUGGACAGUGACCUUUUCUCGUCUGUUCACCCAGGUUGCACAUGAGUGCUGCGGGGUCACCUGUGUGUGAUCAGAUAAGACCAGCUGCUGAGUAGUGGAGGGAGGAGCACCGGCCUGCCCUUAAGGUUAAGGGAUGCCUCGGUUCAUUCCCCUCUGGGUUUUGUGUGCUGAAGAAUGGUGAUCGGCGGUGUGGAGUUUGAAAGCUCGUGGUGGCUGCAGCUCAGCCCAAGGAGAGGCUGUCUUUGCAGAGAAUGGUCAGCCAUGCUGCAGCAGGUUCAGAGUCCUGUGGUCACCAUCAGUUCGGACUGAAAACCCAGGCUUCAACAGUUGGUGUGGAAACGGUGCUU